rnacentral:rRNA from 1 species
AUUGAACGCUGGCGGCAGGCUUAACACAUGCAAGUCGAGCGGAGAUGAGGUGCUUGCACCUUAUCUUAGCGGCGGACGGGUGAGUAAUGCUUAGGAAUCUGCCUAUUAGUGGGGGACAACAUUCCGAAAGGAAUGCUAAUACCGCAUACGUCCUACGGGAGAAAGCAGGGGAUCUUCGGACCUUGCGCUAAUAGAUGAGCCUAAGUCGGAUUAGCUAGUUGGUGGGGUAAAGGCCUACCGAGGCGACGAUCUGUAGCGGGUCUGAGAGGAUGAUCCGACACACUGGGACUGAGACACGGCCCAGACUCCUACGGGAGGCAGCAGUGGGGAAUAUUGGACAAUGGGGGGAACCCUGAUCCAGCCAUGCCGCGUGCGUGAAGAAGGCCUUAUGGUUGUAAAGCACUUUAGGCGAGGAGGAGGCUACUGAGACUAAUACUCUUGGAUAGUGGACGUUACUCGCAGAAUAAGCACCGGCUAACUCUGUGCCAGCCGCCGCCGUAA